rnacentral:rRNA from 1 species
CAGCAGCCGCGGUAAUACGAAGGGUGCAAGCGUUACUCGGAAUUACUGGGCGUAAAGCGUGCGUAGGUGGUGGAUUAAGUCAGUUGUGAAAGCCCUGGGCUCAACCUGGGAAUUGCAGUGGAUACUGGGUCACUAGAGUGUGGUAGAGGAUAGUGGAAUUUCCGGUGUAGCAGUGAAAUGCGUAGAGAUCGGAAGGAACAUCUGUGGCGAAGGCGACUAUCUGGGCCAACACUGACACUGAGGCACGAAAGCGUGGGGAGCAAACAGGAUUAGAUACCCCUGUAGUCCCUGUCUCUUAUAC